UGGGGAAUAUUGCACAAUGGGCGCAAGCCUGAUGCAGCCAUGCCGCGUGUAUGAAGAAGGCCUUCGGGUUGUAAAGUACUUUCAGUCGGGAGGAAGGUGGUAAGGUUAAUAACCUUAUCAAUUGACGUUACCGACAGAAGAAGCACCGGCUAACUCCGUGCCAGCAGUCGCGGUAAUACGGAGGGUGCAAGCGUUAAUCGGAAUUACUGGGCGUAAAGCGCACGCAGGCGGUUGAUUGAGUCAGAUGUGAAAUCCCCGGGCUUAACCCGGGAAUUGCAUCUGAUACUGGUCAGCUAGAGUCUUGUAGAGGGGGGUAGAAUUCCAUGUGUAGCGGUGAAAUGCGUAGAGAUGUGGAGGAAUACCGGUGGCGAAGGCGGCCCCCUGGACAAAGACUGACGCUCAGGUGCGAAAGCGUGGGGAGCAAACAGG
rnacentral:rRNA from 1 species